rnacentral:lncRNA from 1 species
CACGGAGUUCCCUAAGAGGUACAGGCACGAGGAACCUGGAAGGGACUGAACCGAGCAGAGCGUCGCGCUGCUAACGGUCAACGGCUCGCUCGCACGCGGUCCUUCCUAUUUGCCCCCGGCGUGACUUUCAUCGAAAAGAUCUUGUGUUCUGGAAGAAGAGUUCAGCCCAGACCCUCAACCGUCCCACCGUUCAAACCCCGGAAUCGUGUGGCAUUCCUGCGGACACCUGGCAGCGCUACCGAAAGUCAGAAUCCCGGAGCCGAUGUCGGCGCCGCUCUCGCAAACACAUUCAGAGACAUUAUGAAAAUGUUGCAAUGGUCUGAAGCCAUUCUUGCGCUGCGCACAGAACAGGAGCACUCCAGGAACAGUGUGGUCGGUGUUUCGGGACCGCGAGCGGCAGCGACACCGUUUCCAGCGUCACCUCACAGGCCCCCCCACAGCACCCUUCUCAGGAAGGACUGGAGGCCAAAAGAGACUGACCACACUGCACUUGCCCCCUCCCGACCGCCACUUCCAGAAAGAGCCAGAAGCUUCUCCCAGCCCCAGGGCCCAGACUGUGCACAGCGAGG